rnacentral:rRNA from 1 species
UACGUAGGGGGCAAGCGUUGUCCGGAUUUAUUGGGCGUAAAGAGCGUGUAGGCGGUUUGGUAGGUCCGCUGUGAAAACUCGAGCUCAACCUCGAGACGCCGGUGGAAACCAUCAGACUAGAGUCCGGAAGAGGAGAGUGGAAUUCCUGGUGUAGCGGUGAAAUGCGCAGAUAUCAGGAAGAACACCCGUGGCGAAGGCGGCUCUCUGGGACGGUACUGACGCUGAGACGCGAAAAGCGUGGGGAGCGAACAGG